UAAGAUGGUGGAGCUGGAAAAGG
rnacentral:piRNA from 1 species